CCUACGGGAGGCAGCAGUGGGGAAUAUUGGGCAAUGGACGCAAGUCUGACCCAGCAACGCCGCGUGAAGGAAGAAGGCUUUCGGGUUGUAAACUUCUUUUAAGGGGGAAGAGCAGAAGACGGUACCCCUUGAAUAAGCCACGGCUAACUACGUGCCAGCAGCCGCGGUAAUACGUAGGUGGCAAGCGUUGUCCGGAUUUACUGGGUGUAAAGGGCGUGCAGCCGGAGAGUCAAGUCAAGGGUGAAAUCCCCGCGCUCAACGUGGGAACUGCCUUGAAACUGGCAAACUGGAGUGUGUGAGAGGAUAGUGGAAUUCCAGGUGUAGGAGUGAAAUCCGUAGAUAUCUGGAGGAACAUCAGUGGCGAAGGCGACUAUCUGGCACAUAACUGACGCUGAGGAGCGAAAGCGUGGGUAGCAAACAGGAUUAGAUACCCUUGUAGUC
rnacentral:rRNA from 1 species